rnacentral:tRNA from 1 species
GGGGGUAUAGCUCAGUGGUAGAGCAUUUGACUGCAGAUCAAAAGGUCCCAGGUUCAUAUCCUGGUGCCCCCU